ensembl:lincRNA
CUCUUCUCUACCAUGCAAACUCUAGACACCUUGGCAUCCCCAUACCCCUAAUUCCAUGCCCUUAAUUUGAGGGUUCAGCGGACAGUGCCUCUGUUUCCCUCCCUCUACUGCAGCCUGGAAACUGCCCCAGAGCAGCAGAUUGUGUUACCUCGUACCAGUGUAAUGCAGGACCUGAUGUAACAGCUCUGCAAAGAUUGGGGUGUCUUUUGUCUUCAGUUGUGCUUAGCUGACUCAGAGGUUGUAGUUCCCCUGGGAAAGGACUGAGGAUGAAAUGCUAUGUGCACUUGAUAUCCCUGUAAGCACUUGGUAUGAUGUCUCAGGGUCCUGCCUUGUGGAGACCUGAAACAGACAAGAGGCCAUGGCUGCAUUUGGGGGGUUGACCUCAGCCUCAGCCUCUGUUAUCCUGUCUUGAUCUCUUAUGUAUAUUUAUUAGGGGAUCCUCAGUCUGGCUGACACUCCUCUGCUGGAGCUCCUUGAGCUGUAUGCUUCUCACAGAUCCCUGUUGGUCCUUUCCACUCUGCUGUCCAUGUGAGUUACUUUAGACACCAUAGCAAAGAACCACAGACUAAGUGACUUAAACAGCAGUCAGUCACUGUCCUGAGGCCUGGAGCCUGGAAGGAAGUCUGAGAUCCAGGUGUUGCAGGGCUGGCUCCUCCUGAGUCCUCUUUCCUUGACUUGAGGAUGGCAUCUCCUUACCCUGUCCUCACCUGGUUGUCCUGUAUGUGUAUUUAUCCUCACCUCCUCUUCUUAGAAGGACUUACCGCCAAGGACCUCAUUUUACCAUAAUUACUUCCUUAAAGACUCCAUCUUUGAACGCAGUCACAUUCUGAGGUCCUGGGGUUAGGACUUCAACGAAUGGGUUUGUUGGACUAUGGUGCGGCUGUCACACUUCUUGCUGUGGCAGUUGUGCCCACUUUGCUUGAGGCAGACAUGGCUGCCCCUGCCUGUGUAUUUCUGGAAUUCUCUCUUUCCAUUGUUGCCAAGGAACACAAUUCUAUAACAGUACCACCUAUCUCCACAGCUCCUCACUGCAGAAGAUGGAGACUGCCAUGCAUCUUGGUGAUCUUAGUGCCCUCACCAACUCCUCUAGGAGCAUUCACAAGCAUCUCUGAGGAUGUGAGAAUUCCAUCACCAUUGGCAGCUGCUCCUCCCUAAAGCCACUACUCAGUUUCCUGUCUCUGGAUUCGCCAGUUCUGGAAGUGCCACCCGAAUCCUGCAGUGGUGGCCUUGGUGCCUGGGUUCUUCGCCUGAGUGUGAUGUUUGGGGGCCUGCCCCAUCCUCGCAUUGGCCAGUGCUGCUUCUCCAUGGUAGCUGAGUAAUAUUUCACAGUGCAGAUGUUUAUCCUUCCACACAUGGGUGGCGUCCAUCAUUUGAGUCUCAUGGCAAAUAUUGCUCUGAAUGCGGGUGUGUAAAUGCCUGUCGUGCCUGUCUUUUGGGGGGAGUGUGCCCGCAGGGGAGUUGCUGGGUGGGUGGCAAUGCCGUAUGGUGAAACCAGGCUGUUUUCUACAGAGGCUGCACAAUUUUACAUUCACACUCGCUGUGAAUGAGGGAUGUCACUGGGUUUGGACCAUGUGUCCACUGCUGUCCUUGGGCUGGGGGUGCAUAGCCAGAAGCCAGGUCUCCAGUAUCUGAGUAUCUACCACGGCUCUGUGGCC